AGUGAACGCUGGCGGUAGGCCUAACACAUGCAAGUCGAACGGCAGCACAGUAAGAGCUUGCUCUUACGGGUGGCGAGUGGCGGACGGGUGAGGAAUACAUCGGAAUCUACUUUUUCGUGGGGGAUAACGUAGGGAAACUUACGCUAAUACCGCAUACGACCUACGGGUGAAAGCAGGGGAUCUUCGGACCUUGCGCGAUUGAAUGAGCCGAUGUCGGAUUAGCUAGUUGGCGGGGUAAAGGCCCACCAAGGCGACGAUCCGUAGCUGGUCUGAGAGGAUGAUCAGCCACACUGGAACUUAGACACGGUCCAGACUCCUACGGGAGGCAGCAGUGGGGAAUAUUGGACAAUGGGCGCAAGCCUGAUCCAGCCAUACCGCGUGGGUGAAGAAGGCCUUCGGGUUGUAAAGCCCUUUUGUUGGGAAAGAAAAGCAGCAGGUUAAUACCCCGCUGUUCUGACGGUACCCAAAGAAUAAGCACCGGCUAACUUCGCG
rnacentral:rRNA from 1 species